rnacentral:rRNA from 1 species
UACGUAGGGGGCUAGCGUUGUCCGGAAUCAUUGGGCGUAAAGGGCGUGUAGGUGGUUUCGUAAGUCUGGCGUGAAAUUUUUCGGCUUAACCGGGAAAGGUCGUCGGAUACUGCGGAACUAGAGGACGGUAGAGGCGUGUGGAAUUCCGGGUGUAGUGGUGAAAUGCGUAGAGAUCCGGAGGAACACCAGUGGCGAAGGCGACACGCUGGGCCGUACCUGACACUGAUGCGCGACAGCAUGGGGAGCAAACAGG